ensembl:lncRNA
GGGGGCUCCGGCCGGCGGGCCUCGGCCGUCCACCCCCCCGGGCCCCUGGGGGGGCCCCUGGCCGGGCCGCGCGGGCCCCUGGUGCGCUCCACCCAGGAGCUGUUCCGCUCGCAGCCCGUCAUCAACCAGAGCCGGCCGGCGCCGCCCCCCCGGCCAAGCAGGAAGUCCUUCCUCCCCGUGCCGUCCUUCAGCGUCCCGCAGAGGCUCCGCAGCCUCAGCAUGGGGUCGGAGGUCACCGGCCCCUGACUGGGGUCGCAGGUCACCGGCACCCUACUGGGGUCAGAGGUCAUGGCCCCUGAAGGAGGAGGAGGAGACCAGGGGGUCAGGGGUCACUGGCUCCUGAAGGAGGAGGAGACCAGGGGGUCAGAGGUCAACGGUCCCUGAAGGAGGAAGAGGAGGAGGAGGAGGAGACCAGGGGGUCAGAGGUCAUGGCCCCUGAAGGAGGAGGAGGAGACCAGGGGGUCAGAGGUCACCGGCUCCUGAAGGAGGAGGAGGAGGAGACGACCCUGGUUUUAUUUGUGUCAUGCGAUGCUAUAUCAAAUCCCCCAUCCUCGUUUUACAUAUAAGGUGGAGUAGUGACUUUUGUUCAACUUUUAUAAGAUAUGGUUGAUCUGCAUAUUGUAGUGGUCAUCAGAAUGGGCCCGAAGACAACGGUACUUUUUAAGGGACAGACGUUCUUUGUUUGAUAUGCAAUAUAAAUAUUUAUCAUAUUUGUAAUUCUGUUCACAUUUAUUAAAUGGUGUUUUAUAAUAAACCAACAGGUUUUACACACCACACAUUCACUCUUACUAUAAAUGUACUAAGCAUACAAAUAGUACACUUAUUAAGUAGAAAUGUUACUUCUUGGUUAGGCCUAUUUAUCGCACAUAAUAUAUUAUCACAUAUAUCAUUACAUAAAUAAUUACUUUUCUCAGAUCCAGAUAGUUUAUAUGAUUAGAUCCUCCGGGUUUUUUGUGUUCAUCAUCAACACAGUGUUUUUAAAUGUCUUACAAAUGAAAUGUAUUAUAAAGUGUAACCAAUAAUGGAAACAUCCAAAUGCAUUUCAAAUCAUAUUUCUAAUGGCAGUAGUACCCGCUUCCACCAGCAGAGGUCCCUAACAGCCAGCUGAACGGAAACGGCGAAGGAGCGACUACAGAGUAUACGCAUCACAGAAUGUCCUAGGUCAACUGUAAUCGACCUCUCCUUCUUAUUGAUCGGACUAUAAAGCCUGCGGGUGUUUGUGUGGCCGACAGACACACACACA